GGCCCCUUGGUCAAGCGGCUAAGACGACGCCCUCUCACGGCGUAAACAUGGGUUCGAUUCCCGUAGGGGUCACCA
rnacentral:tRNA from 1 species